AUACAUUUGGGAGUCGGAAAUAACGGGUUCAUCGGUGUUUUUCCCAGGGCGAGGCUUAGCCAUUGCACUCUGGCUGUGCUGACCCUGUGGUUUCCCCAAAUGUGGGAAAUUCGACUGCCUAAUUCGUGGACAUGGGGGACUGCGUUCACUCACUCAGA
ensembl:snRNA U1 U1 spliceosomal RNA